CCUACGGGUGGCAGCAGUAGGGAAUAUUGCUCAAUGGGGGAAACCCUGAAGCAGCAACGCCGCGUGGAGGAUGAAGGUUUUCGGAUUGUAAACUCCUUUUGUUAGAGAAGAUAAUGACGGUAUCUAAUGAAUAAGCACCGGCUACCUCCGUGCCAGCAGCCGCGGUAAUACGGAGGGUGCAAGCGUUACUCGGAAUCACUGGGCGUAAGGGGGGCGUAGGCGGGUUAGGAAGUCAGAUGUGAAAUCCUAUGGCUUAACCAUAGAACUGCGAUUGAAACUGUUAGUCUGGAGUGUGGGAGGGGUAGGUGGAAUUUUUGGUGUAGGGGUGAAAUCCGUAGAUAUCAAGAGGAACACUCAUUGCGAAGGCGACCUGCUAGAACGUAACUGACGCUGAUGCACGAAAGCGUGGGGAGCAAACAGGAUUAGAUACCCGGGUAGUC
rnacentral:rRNA from 1 species